rfam:Oryza sativa Japonica Group DNA, chromosome 2, cultivar: Nipponbare, complete sequence.
AAUAAGUGCAGUUUUGCACUAUUCACGUUUAACGUUUGACCGUUCAUCUUAUUUGAAAUUUUUUUAUGAUUAAUAUUUUUAUUGUUAUUAGAUGAUAAAAUAUGAAUAGUACUUUAUGUGUGACUAAAUAUUUUCAAAUUUUUUAUAAAUUUUUCAAAUAAGACGGACGGUCAAAUAUUGGGCACAGGUAUCCACGGUUGCACUUAUU